rnacentral:rRNA from 1 species
GGGGGAUCGGAGGAUCACUCCCAACCCCAUGUGAACCAUACCGAAUGUUGCUUCGGCGGGCUCGGCGCUCCGGCCCGGCGCCCGCCGGAGGUAUCAAACUCUCUGUUUUUUUGGUGGCAUUAUCUGAGUAGCGCAAGCAAAUAAAAUCAAAACUCUGAACAACGGAUCUCUUGGUUCUGGCAUCGAUGAAGAACGCAGCGAAAUGCGAUAAGUAAUGUGAAUUGCAGAAUUCAGUGAAUCAUCGAAUCUUUGAACGCACAUUGCGCCCGCCAGUAUUCUGGCGGGCAUGCCUGUUCGAGCGUCAUUUCAACCCUCAAGCCCCAUUAGGCUUGGUGUUGGGGAUCGGCCGCGGCGGCUUCUCGUCGCCCGCGGCCGGCCCCGAAAUAUAGUGGCGGUCUCGCUGUAGCCUCCUCUGCGUAGUAGAAACACCUCGCUCUGGAAGACAGCGCGGCCACGCCGUAAAACCCCCAAGUUUUACUGAAGGUUGACCUCGGAUCAGGUAGGAAUACCCGCUGAACUUAAGCAUAUCAAUAAGGCCGGAGGAA